UUCUCCCUAUGGAGGGCUUCUCCACUCUUCCUUCCUCCUUUUUUGUUUUUCUUUCUGCAAUGGGACGCGCCUUGAUGCUUUUGUCUCCCGAUGGCAGUGUCCUGUCGAAGCACUUCUCCUGCCACAGGGGAUUCCGUUGAAGUCCACGAUCCAGUGUCUGAAGAAAGAGGUUCUUCAUUUAACAAAAAGGUCAAAGAAGAUGGAUGGCAAGCUUCACAG
rnacentral:lncRNA from 1 species